rnacentral:rRNA from 1 species
AACGAACGCUGGCGGCAGGCCUAACACAUGCAAGUCGAGCGCCCCGCAAGGGGAGCGGCGGACGGGUGAGUAACGCGUGGGAACGUACCCUUUUCUGCGGAAUAGCCCAGGGAAACUUGGAUUAAUACCGCAUACGCCCUUCGGGGGAAAGAUUUAUCGGAGAAGGAUCGGCCCGCGUUGGAUUAGGUAGUUGGUGGGGUAAUGGCCUACCAAGCCGACGAUCCAUAGCUGGUUUGAGAGGAUGAUCAGCCACACUGGGACUGAGACACGGCCCAGACUCCUACGGGAGGCAGCAGUGGGGAAUCUUCGGCAAUGGGCGCAAGCCUGACCGAGCCAUGCCGCGUGAGCGAUGAAGGCCUUAGGGCUGUAAAGCUCUUUCGCCAGGGAUGAUAAUGACAGUACCUGGUAAAGAAACCCCGGCUAACUCCGUGCCAGCAGCCGCCGUAAAAC